AGCGAACGCUGGCGGCAGGCCUAACACAUGCAAGUCGAACGAGGUCUUCGGACUUAGUGGCGGACGGGUGAGUAACACGUGGGAACGUGCCUUUAGGUUCGGAAUAACUCAGGGAAACUUGUGCUAAUACCGAAUGUGCCCUUCGGGGGAAAGAUUUAUCGCCUUUAGAGCGGCCCGCGUCUGAUUAGCUAGUUGGUGAGGUAAAGGCUCACCAAGGCGACGAUCAGUAGCUGGUCUGAGAGGAUGAUCAGCCACAUUGGGACUGAGACACGGCCCAAACUCCUACGGGAGGCAGCAGUGGGGAAUCUUGCGCAAUGGGCGAAAGCCUGACGCAGCCACGCCGCGUGAAUGAUGAAGGUCUUAGGAUUGUAAAAUUCUUUCACCGGGGACGAUAAUGACGGUACCCGGAGAAGAAGCCCCGGCUAACUUCGUGCCAGCCGCCGCGGUAA
rnacentral:rRNA from 1 species